rnacentral:rRNA from 2 species
CACGCCCUAAACGAUGUCAACUAGGUGUUGGGUGGGUAAAACCAUUUAGUACCGGAGCUAACGCGUGAAGUUGACCGCCUGGGGAGUACGGCCGCAAGGUUAAAACUCAAAGGAAUUGACGGGGACCCGCACAAGCGGUGGAUGAUGUGGAUUAAUUCGAUGCAACGCGAAAAACCUUACCUACCCUUGACAUGUCAGGAACUUGCCAGAGAUGGCUUGGUGCUCGAAAGAGAACCUGAACACAGGUGC